rnacentral:rRNA from 1 species
GAUGAACGCUGGCGGCGUGCUUAACACAUGCAAGUCGAACGAAGCACUUUAUUUGAUUUCCUUCGGGACUGAUUAUUUUGUGACUGAGUGGCGGACGGGUGAGUAACGCGUGGGUAACCUGCCUUGUACAGGGGGAUAACAGUUGGAAACGGCUGCUAAUACCGCAUAAGCGCACAGCAUCGCAUGAUGCAGUGUGAAAAACUCCGGUGGUAUAAGAUGGACCCGCGUUGGAUUAGCUAGUUGGUGAGGUAACGGCCCACCAAGGCGACGAUCCAUAGCCGACCUGAGAGGGUGACCGGCCACAUUGGGACUGAGGCACGGCCCAAACUCCUACGGGAGGCAGCAGUGGGGAAUAUUGCACAAUGGGCGAAAGCCUGAUGCAGCGACGCCGCGUGAGCGAAGAAGUAUUUCGGUAUGUAAAGCUCUAUCAGCAGGGAAGAUAAUGACGGUACCUGACUAAGAAGCACCGGCUAAAUACGUG